UACAGAGGGGGCAAGCGUUGUUCGGAAUUACUGGGCGUAAAGGGCGCGUAGGCGGCCGCCUAAGUCAGACGUGAAAUCCCUCGGCUCAACCGGGGAACUGCGUCUGAUACUGGGUGGCUUGAAUUCGGGAGAGGGAUGCGGAAUUCCAGGGUGUAGCGGUGAAAUGCGUAGGAUAUCUGGAGGAACACCGGUGGCGAAGGCGGCAUCCUGGACCGAGAGUUGACGCCUGACGGCGCGAAAGCCAGGGGAGCAAAGC
rnacentral:rRNA from 1 species